AUUGAACGCUGGCGGCAGGCCUAACACAUGCAAGUCGAGCGAGCGGCGGACGGGUGAGUAAUGCCUGGGAAUUGCCCAGUCGAGGGGGAUAACAGUUGGAAACGACUGCUAAUACCGCAUACGAUUGGAUUGCCCAGGUGGGAUUAGCUAGUUGGUGAGGUAAUGGCUCACCAAGGCGACGAUCCCUAGCUGGUCUGAGAGGAUGUUCAGCCACACGGGAACUGAGAAACGGUCCAGACUCCUAGGGGGGGAGGCAGUGGGAAAUAUUGCAAAAUGGGGGAAGCCCUGAUGCAGCCAUGCGGCGUGUGUGAAGAAGGCCUUCGGGUUGUAAAGCACUUGGAGCGAGGAGAGGUUACUAGCAGGAGAAGCACCGGCUAACUCCGUGCCAGCAGCCGCGGUAAUC
rnacentral:rRNA from 1 species